rnacentral:sRNA from 2 species
AACGAGCGGCCUUUAAGCAACAGCACAACACAACACAACACACCACAACAACACAACACGAUACUCUCCAUCGCAACAACAAUAAAUAUCUCCUUCUCCCACUUCUCUCGCUCCCCAUCCUCUUCGUCUCCUCAUACCCCACCAGCUUCGACAAUCGCGUAGUGAACCACACUAUCAAAGCAUCCUGCAAGUUCAAGCUGAAUAGUUUUCGACUGAAAGUUUUCACGCAGCCCAUUUCAUCCCCUCAUUCCCUUCUUUCACGUAUGUUCCUCACUCAGCCUUCGUCCAACCCUUACUGUCAUCCUCUUUAAACGAUUUUCAUUGUACUGCUAGUACUCUGCCAAUCCCAAGUCUGCCACACAAUUUCAUCUGGUGUCUGUCCAAAAGUACUAGACGGCGUCUCCUGAAUCUCGCUAAACCGGUUCUAUCGUGAUUAGAGCCUCAGGCCUCAAAAAACAGCUGUUUGACGCUCCAGAUCCAGGCUGGGCACUCUGCCCUCUGCAACACCAUGCGCACUCGAUCGCAGCCAAUUUCCCCAAACGGGUUUCAGUCGCUGGAAAUCGCUCCUCGCAGACGGAAGGCGCAGACAACCGCGACUGCCUCCAGGGCCACCAAGGUCACCAAGCCCGCAGCGGAGGCAAGCGCCAAAGUUGAGAAAAAGAAACCUGGAAAGCGCGGCCCCAAGAAAACGUCGAAGAAAACCGCGAGCAAGUCC